AGCCCUUGUUUAGAUGUAAAUUUUUUUGUAUUUUGCUACUGUAGUUUUUUUUGUUUGUUUGUGGUAAAUAUUAUCCAAUCAUAGACUAACUAGGGUCAAAAGAUUCGUCUCACGAUUUACAGUUAAACUGUGUGAUUAGUUUUUGUUUUCGUUUAUAUUUAAUACCUAAUGUAUGUGUCGUAAGAUUCGAUAUGAUAUGGAAUCUUGAAAACUGUUUGGAUUUUGAGGUACGACCUUGUUUAGUUCCAAAAAAUUUUGGAAAAUCUAACACUUUCGUUUGUAUUUGAUAAAUAUUGUCCAAUUAUGGACUAACUAGGAUCAAAGGAUUCGUCUCGUUAAUUCCGACCAAACUGUGCAAUUAGUUUUUAUUUUUGUCUAUAUUUAAUACUCCAUACAUGCGUCUAAAGAUUUGACGUGAUGGAGAAUCUGAAAAAUUUUGUAAAAUUUUUUGGAACUAAACAAGGCCGUGAACUAGACAAGACCUAGGCCUUGUUUAGUUCUCAAAAAUUUUGCAAAAUUUUUCAGAUUCCCUGUCACAUCGAAUAUUUAGACGUAUGCAUGGAGUAUUAAAUAUAGAUAAAAAUAAAAACUAAUUGCACAGUUUGGUCGGAAUUGACGAGACGAUUCUUUUGAACCUAGUUAAUCCAUAAUUGGACAAUAUUUGUCAAAUACAAACGAAAGUGUUAAUAUUCCUAUUUUGCAAAUUUCUUUGAAGUAAACAAGGCCCUAGAACAAGGCCUGAAAAUGCUACUGUCACGGUGGAGGCUGACGCAUUUAAUGCGAGUUUACUGUGGGUUGACCAGAAUGACGAGCAUGGUGGAUCGCAGUAUCAAAUAUCAAUGCACUUUAUAAAAAAAGAAAAUAAAUCAAUGCACUGGUGUCACCUGUUCUCGUCUCCAUAGGAUGAUGUUUGUUAUUGAAAAUUAUUCAAAUUGCAUUUUGUAUGAAUUAUGAAUAUUUUUUUAUCUAUGUUUCAUCACUAAAAGAUAUUCAUUGGUCCUUUGAUUUGUACUCCCUCCAUAUCAGAAAUAAAAGACGUUUAGGAUAUAAGUAUAGU
rnacentral:lncRNA from 1 species